CUGAGGAAGGGCGUCAGUAUCGUAAUGAUUAGAGUAAUAUUAAAACGACUUUUCUGGUUAACUUUGACCAAUGUAUGUUUUUCUUCCUAGCCUUGACUGCAUUUUGCACAAUAGUUCAGAAAACAAAAUUUGGUACAUAUGUAGGAAAAUUGUAAUUAAAAAAAGAAACCCAAAAACCCCACACAACCAAAGCAGAUUGUGAUCGGAUUCCACACAUUUCAAACAUAGAAGUUUGGUACAUUUUAACCUAACUUUUUUCCUUGAUCUUGAAAUAGCAAACUAUUAGACUUAGUGAUACGGAAGUGACAAACUCCGAUCAGGUUAGAUGGGCUUUGGCAGUUGUAGACUCUAACUUCGAUAAUCUGAGGUGUCUCAUAACACCUACUUGGUUGAUAGAUUUGUUAGUGGGUUUUAUUGACGAUGGAUGGUAAAAUUAAGGCAGGAAGAAAUUCAGAAAAAAAUUCAGUGUAAUAUGAAUAUUAUACAGCCAUUUUAAACAGAAGCAUUUCUUUUAGAUUUGAAGACAGAACACAAAUAUACAUAAGUGUAGUAAGUAAACAAAUUGGACAAACCUCUACAGAACAGUCUGACUCCUCUCACAGGUAUACUUGCUCUUGGUGUUACUUGGCAUAAUUUUGUAAGCUUAGCAGUGAUCAGAAGGUCACAAGCCCCCUGAAUUUCCACACAGUAAAGGUUAGUUCUCUAUAUAAAAUAUUUUUCUAGGUGUGUAUUUUUAACAGGUUGUUUCUCUUCAGCACCGUAUUGUGUAAAAAAUGUUUUAGUUUAAAAUAAAGCUUGAUUAACACUUCAGGCUAGAGAUAUUUCUUCUGGUUUUGGGUAUCCUACCUGCAUAUUUUAAAUACUUUAUAAUGAUAAUUCUGAUAAUGAUUUUCACACCUUUCUGAAAAUACAGUUUUUAGGUUGGUAUUAUUCUUUGGUGUUUAUGGCUUGUGUAUUUCAUUACAUUAAUAAGUUUGAUAAGGAUACUGUUAAUUUCACAGUGUUUUUAUGAAAGUUUAAAGUAUCAUAUUGCCGUUGGCCUGAGAAGAAAGAGUAUUUUAAUUCAGAGUACACUUUUGCAACUAGAGUUGGAAAACUAACUCCUUAAAUAUUAUGCAACUUAGUCUAUAGAAACAGCUUUUGUAUCUCUGAGCUUGCCUACCUUGACAGAAUUUCUACUCAAAACCUAUGUGGAAACUUAGUUAGUUGAAGGUGAAUAUUUGGUAUUUUAGUUUUCCUUCUGCAUUCAAAUUUUUAGUGUUUGUGCCUCUCUUUUGUACUUUUUAUUUUCAUUUUCACACUGCAAUAUUGCUGAUCUGUAAACCUGAAAGCUUUUGUGAAUAAUUAUUAAUAUAGUCGUAGUCCAAAAUUGAGUAUGUGUUUAUGAGCUCUUAGACUCUAAUAAGUUUGAAACGAAAGUGCUGUCAUUCACUUUAUGCAUAGAAAGCAUCAGGGUUCUGAUUUAAAUUACUUAGCUCUCACUUUUUAAAUAAAAACUUACUAAAAUGUCAGGGGAAUUCAAAUAAUGCAGGGGAGAAUUUGUAAAAGUAGUUGACAGUUUCUGAAACUGCACUGCCUGAGAUUUUUAAAAAGAAUUUGUUAGCCACCUGCCCCACACAGUUCUGUGCAAGUGAUACUGUGUAUGUUGCAAUACAGACUGGAAAGUCAUCAUUUCUGCACUUGUCAAUUGUUGUUAAUGCUGUGCAGUACAAAACUUGCAGUUUACAAGAAUUGGCAACUACUUUUAGUGUGGCUUUCUUCCAGUUUCAGUAUAAUCAAUCCUUUUGUUCCUGUGUCACCAUGUAAUUUAAUUGGUUUUGGUCUCAAGUAAUGGGAAUUUUUGUUCUUUAAUAUUUUCUGAAGACACUCUUUCCCAGUGAGGAAAUUCACAUUAGUAGUAUUCUACAGGCAAGGAGCCAUCUUACUGCUAUGAAAUGUCUACACCUUUCGUCCUCUCUUAAUUAUUAUAGGUUUUAAAUAAUGCAGGGGUUUUGUCGCAGGAAGAUGUUGCUUGGUGCAACAGAUUGUAGUUCAGGAGAGGUCUGUGUGGUGACAAAUAGAAAAAUGUACUCUUUAAAUGCGAAGUAUGGUGAUUUUAUAUACUUCUCUAUUUUGGGAAAUGUGGGGAAAGCAUAAUUUUUCAGUAUUUAAAAAGGUGUAGAGAUGAUACUCACUACUGGUUUUCUUUCUUCUGUUGCAAAUCCAACAGACAAGUAAUUAAUAUUUUCAAGAGUCACACUGUAGAGGCCCAUGGAAGUUGACUUCGUCACGCCAGAAGAAGAAUUCCGUCAGUAUAACUCAUUCCUGUACUGGAGAGCACCACUGCCUGCUAUUGAUUUGUCUGAUAUUCAGAACCUAGAUGAAGAGACUCCAUCGGGUGCUAAAACUGCUGCAAGGACUGAUACCGCAGAGACUGAAAUGGAAACCUGAUCAGUUGUUUCAUAGCUGUGCAUCUGUUUCCACUGAGAAACAAGGGGUUGUUCCUUGGGUGAAUAAUAAGCAUGCUUAUGCAGUCUUGGAGAAACUGUUGUGGCAGUCUUUAAAAGCAAAUCGGAGUUGCCUUAGUGAAUGGGAUAAACGGUAUUGGGUACUUAACAGGAAGAUGUCUGAAGGUGUGAGUAAGGAGGAGCCAACAGUGUCUGACUGGAAUACUUGAAGACAUGGAGGCGGACUAAAAGAAGAAUACCGGAAAUUAAACUUUGGGAUGCAAUUAAAAGAAAUGGGGAUAUGUUACCUGUCAAAGGAAAUGCAAAAUUAUUUUGUCUGUCCUGAACAAAAAAUGUGUGGUACCUGAAAGUGAAGUAUUUAACAUGUGAGUUUAUAAUAAAGCACACAAACUCUAGUGAUUUCUAAUGGGUUGGGUUUUUUUCCUGUAUAAUAGCUAAACCAAAAAGUAAGAGUCCAUCAAAAUUGGACAAAACAUUCCCUUUUCUAUGCAAACCAAAAACCAAGUGUGGCAGAGAAGGGGAAGGAAAAGGCGCUACUUUCUGCUGAAAACUGUUGCUGUUCUGAAAGGUUUUACAUUCUCAUUCUGAAAAGGUUUUUUCUUCUUCUCUUUUUUUGCGUUAUGGACAGCAGUGAGCACCCAUUUUUUAUGGUUUUGGUUCAUUCUAAAGUUACUGCUAUUCUUAGUCUUUGUGAUGUUGCUCUGAACCAGUUGAUAGCAUCUGAAUGACAGGUUUAGGCAGAUGUGUCAAGAAAAGCUAGUGCAAUAUAAAAUGACCACACACACUCUUUCAAACUAUAUUGAAGGAGGUGUGGUUUUUGUAGAGACUGUGAAUCUUGCAGAAAGUUUUUGCAGAUGUUCAUUCAAAUAGUGUUUUUUUGCUGUGAAAUAUAAACUUAAUGUUUGUGAUUUGCAAUUUAUUUACAACUGAAGUACAAUUAGAAAGAUGUUUUUAAUAAUAGACUGAAGUGGUAUGGGAAGACUUAGAUUUGGGAAUAUGAUUUGUCUUUAAGGAUAGGAAACGUAUUUUUUCUGUAAUCACUAUGGAAAAAGGCAACUUUUGAAUUUAUUUUUAAUUUUAAAAAUUGAAGUAUAAUUAGCAAGAUGUUUUUAAUAAUAGACAAGUGGUAUGGGAAGACUUAGAUUUUGGAAUAUGAUUUGUCUUUAAGGGUAGGAAAAUUGUAUUUUUUCUGUAAUCACUAUGGAAAAAGGCAACUUUUGAAUUUUAUUUUUUUUAAUGAUGUGUUUGUUAAAGGACAAUAAAGUUUUGCCUGUGUGUGUGUUAAAACUUUGGCACUAUUACUAUGUGAAGUUCUUGACUUUAUUUCAUAUAAAGAUUGCUGCUUCUGUAUCUUUGCUGUUUUACUAGGUCUUUUUGCUUAAAAUAGUGAGCUUGUCAGCUUCCUUGGUAAACACUUGGAAACUUUUUCUGGAAUUUGUGCUGCUUAGGUAUCUGUAUUUGUUGCUUAUUCAUUUAGCUUGUUAAGAUCUCUGAAUACCUUCUGAAGAAAGGAGGUGGCUUAGGGAUUUAAGCAGGUAAUGGUGCCUCUUUGGAUAUCCUACCUUCUGUCAGAUUAGCUGGAUACAUAUUUGGACAAUAUGUAUUUCUCUCGGACAGUUUUUAACAUUUUAUUUAAGUCCAAAUACACCAUUUUGUCUUAGGAGGUACUUAAAAGUUUUUUUAGAAAACAAACUUCUUUUCUGAAAAGAAGGCUAUAAAACUGCUAUUUCAUGUUUACUAUAACCAAAAUAAAUUAGUGAAAAAAAAUA